CGGACCGCUGGUGUAUCAGCUGCAUCGCCAGAUGCAUAAGGCUGGGUAGCCACGUCCGGAAGGGAUAAACGCUGAAGGCAUCUAAGCGUGAAGCCCCCCUCAAGAUGAGAUAUCCCUGGCUUGUCCAGUAAGACCCCUUGUAGAGUACGAGGUUAGAUAGGCACAAGGUGUAAGCAUGGUAACGUGUUCAGCUGAUGUGUACUAAUAGGUCGAGGGCUUAUCCA
rnacentral:rRNA from 1 species